rnacentral:lncRNA from 1 species
CCCGAGACUACCACCCAGGAGAGCGUUCUUGCUUCAAGUCCAGCUGGCAUCUUGGGAUCACUUGCUCACUUUCCAGGCUGAGGCACAGCAGUUGGAACGCAUCUCCCCCAGCCUUGAAGUAGGAGGCAACGCGAAUCGACGCGCUGGAGCAUUUUCAAGGGCCUGUAGUUGACAUCUCACCUGUCAGCUUUGAGGACAACGCUGGGAUUUCAUGGUGGCUGCCAAAAUUCUGUCUCCUUCCUCCCACCUUCUGCAACCAAAUUAAUAACGGUGACCAGGAGGUAGAGAAAGGAGAAAGCAAUCUCCAACAUUUAGUUACUUAAAGAACUACCUGAAAUUCCUCAUCCGUCUUCCUUGUAAGCAAUCAACAUUUUCUCUUCUUUC